UGUGCUAGUAUUACUAUUAUGGGCUCAAAUCCGCGCAGUUGGUUUUGUUGUUUAUAUGUUUCUGCUUGCCACUAUUCACGACAAAGAAGGCGGUUUACGUUUGAAGCGGCGUCACUCUUGCCGUAGAGUUGAAACUAAUGGGGACGGGUCGUUUCCGUUAAUUUCCGUUUGUAGAUCUACUGAACAUGAAACGCCGCCGCUGUGUGUCGUAAAGCAGGGAAACCAACAUGUGAACGUCAACUGACAUGUACGUUAGGAGAAACUAGCUAGCUAAAGUGUUUAAAAAGCUACAAAAGCUAAUUUAUACGUCGUGUAGCUAGCAAUUUAGAGGGUUAUUAGUAUUGUUCGGUUAGCUUAAGUUCAGCUAACGUUAGCUAGUUGACACUGGAUGUUUAACGUCCAGCUCUUUUCAAUAUAAAUGAGCAACUAGCCAGCUAAAGUGUUGAAAAAGCUACAAAAGCUAAUUUACACCAUUUAUUUCGUGUAGGCAACUUGUUAUCGAGCAAUUUAGAGGUUUAUUAGUCUUGCUAGGUUAGCUUAAAGUUAGCUAACGUUAACUAGUUUACACUAUGGAUGUUUUACGUCCAGCUCUUAUCAAUAUACAUGGAAGAAUAUACCGGAGGAAUGUCAUUAAGGAAGAACAUUAUGAGGAAGAGGAAGAUAUGUCUUACAUGGGACCACCAGAGAGUGAAGACUUGGCAGAAGAUGAAUCCUGUGAUGCCAACUUCAUUGAGCAAACUGAUAAGGGAUACCGCUGUGCCAUUGAUGUGCCAAGUGUCCUUUACAAAUACAUCAUUGGGAAAAAAGGAGAGACACGCAGACGCCUGGAGUUUGAUACAAAGACAUCUAUCAGCAUCCCCAAACAAGGAGUGGAAGGACAGAUAGUUAUCACAGGUUCCCACAAAUCUGCGGUCUCAUCUGCAGUCACACGAGUCGAGGUCCUCAUUGAGAGUUUCCGGAAGAAGCAGCCUUUCACGCACUUCCUGUCAUUCCCUCUGAACGAUCCCAAAAUUCAAGAAGGAUUCCUGAGCUUUAAAGACGAGGUGUUGAAGCAGUGCUCACAGGAUAAUGGAAUAGAUGGAAGCAUCUUUCAGAACGCCGCAAAGCUUCACCUGACCAUCGGCACCCUGGCUCUGUUGAAUGACACAGAAGUGAGAAAAGCAUGUGAACACCUUCAGGAGUGUCAAAAUGUAAUCAGGGACAUCACAGAAGGGAAUCCACUGCAGGUGGAGGUGACGGGUAUAGAGUACAUGAACGAUGACCCAGCCAUGGUGGACGUCUUGUAUGCCAAAGUCAAUGUGAAAGACAAGUCAGACAAGCUGCAGGUGAUUGCCGACCGGCUGGUAGAGCACUUUGUCUCAGCGGGGCUGAUGGUCAGAGAGUGGGACAGGGUGAAGCUGCACGGCACUGUGAUGAACACUCUGUUCAGAAAGGACUCCACAGUUGAAGACACGGGCGUCCCAGGAAGACAAGCCUUGAGUGAAAGAGAGGCUUUUGAUGCCAGAAACAUUUUAAAGAAAUUUGGCACAUAUCAUUUUGGAGAGUUUGAGCUGAACACUGUCCUGCUGUCCCAGAGAUACUCGACAGAUUGUACAGGCUACUACACCUCCGCAGGAAGUGCCAGCUUCUCAUGAGCUUCAGCAGGGCUGAGCAGACUCUCAGGAUGACCCGUUCAUAUCUACAUAGGGAGCAGGUCCUUGUCCAUGGAGUCAGCCAUGUUGCACCACCAUGUUUCUACAGUAGCUCAGCACGGACAAACUAAACGCUGGCUCUAGAUAGGUCCGUGUGCGUUUUCACGUCCGGACUGUAGUUGGCAACAAGCAGUGUUGGAAAAACAGAUUUUUUUUAAACAUAAAACUGUUAUAUUCAGUGUUCAUUCCAGUUUAAAUCACUGGGUUGGUUUGUUUUGGAGAUUGACAGACCUCUGUGGAUAAUUCGGCUCCUGGUAAAAACCUCAUGAAGGUCUGGAUGUUAAGUUAUCUAAGAAAACAGGUAAGCACACAUUGGCAGGUGUAAGGCUAGCUGCCAAUCUGCGACAUGCCAGACAGGGAUUUGUAACAUGAAACUGCUUUAUUCAGUGUUUUUACCAGUUUUUAAUCACCUGGUUUGUUUGUUUUGGAGAGGAAGAGACCUCUGUGGAUAAUUAAGCUCAUAAUAAAAACUUCCUGAAUAAUGAACACUGAAGGAAUUUUUACCGGGAGAUGUUUCAGAUAGUUGCAAUAUGCAAUCCUCACCACUAGAUGCCACUAUAUCCCCCUAAAUCUCACACUUUGUUCCUUUAAAUACUGCUUGUCAGUGCUACGUGCGAAUAGGUCUUUAAAUCACUUGUUUUGUUCAACUAACAAAAUAAAAAGUUAUUUAAUUUACAAAGAUAUAAAACAGAAAAAAAAUGGAAGAUUUUUACAUCUGAGGAGCCAGCAAAUCAGCAAGUCACAUUUUAUCAGAAAUCAAAGUCAGAAAUUAACAAAAAUACUACAUACAGCAUUUUGUUUUUUCUAGAGAUCUUUUUACGGUGUGGGAAAUGAUUUGGAUUGAACUGGGUGAGCACGCCGCCCGGCAUACAUAUUUUUCUGUCCCUGCCACAUCCCUCACCCUAAUUAGUCAGCUUCGAGCUUCCUGCUGUGGGAACUUCCAACCUGACCCUUGAGAUUUCGAGACUAGCAUACAUCCCUUUCAAUAAGCCGGAUAAAUGAGACCUCAGUGUCUGUUUGUGUUACGGCAGACCCAUUUCCUCUGUGGAUCUGCAUCCUUAUUUCUGAAGAUCGGAGGAGACACAGGAGCUGGGUUUUAAUUAAAAUGUUAAACAGUUUAGUUGUCUGUGCAGGCAUGUGUGCAUAUGUGCUUGUUUACAUACAUUGGUGAGCCUUACGAUUAAAUAAAACAACAGUUUAUUUACUUUUUCCCCCUUGUGAAAAUUGUAGAAAGAAAAAGCUGUGAUUUUAAAAAGAAGUGAAAGCAAAGAAAUCACUCCAAUAAGCUCGUAAAGCUCACAAUGAACCUCGCAAUAAUGAGAAUUAAUUCAUGUUUGGUAAGUCUUGUUUUAUCUCAAGCAAGUAUUGUUUAGGCCUCCAUCCAAUUUGCAUAUUUAAUUUCAUGCCAGUUUUCACAGUAGCCAUUUUUUAUGCAGACUCUGUUUGAAAUAGGUCUUACUUGAUCAGUGUCAAACUUCUUUAUAGCACAUUUUGAUAUUCAGAACCACACUGUGCAAUUUCUCAAAGCGUGAUUAGAAAUUAAGCGUUCAUUCAGAGGAGCCAGCGUUAACAUCUGCUGGGGGAAACAAAAAAGACGAUGUUUGACAGACGUGACCUUUUAAUACAGUAGAUAUGUUUGAUUUGUGUGCUCGGAGUAAUAACACACAUGAAAUCGAUUAAGCACCUAAUUACUUUUUAAGGUCACGGUUAAGUUUUACCCAUAUGUGCCUUAAAGCUGGAAUGCUGAUCAGGUUCGUAGAAUAUUUUAAUCCAAAUCCAAUUAACUGAGAGGGUGAACUUGACAGUAAGGAAGCACUAAGAUGACAUUUAAGUUGGUUGCUUUGCACUCCUGGUGUCAUGUUUUCCACUUAACAAGCUUGAAUCAUAAGCUUGCUUUAAGAAGGUCUUUUGAUCGAUCAAACACAUCUAUCCACGAGAAGCUACAAAGGUGAAAAUGAUCCUGCCAGACUAAGCCAGCGAAUCUUUCAAAUUGGAUAUUGUUAGCGGUGAAAUAUGACAGCGCGCCUUGCCUUUGAUUGUUCUCUCAUGUUGGAAGUGACUCUCCAGCUGAGUGUCAGCGCAGUUUGAAUGUCACACUAAUCACUCUGUCACUUAAUGGGCACGAGCGGCCUUGACGGACAGCCAAGGCGAGAGUAUUUGAAAUGUCUAAUCUGUGUCUCCAGCGAGGAGGCAGGUGAUCCCUGCAGCAGCUCUUUAUCAUUCAGAACGCCGAGUCUGGAGGCUGCCUGCAGCUGUCCACGUCUGUUUACUGCUGGAGGCAUUCACACAGGGAGGAGAGGCACAAAGCCCGGUGUGUUUGAACAGCAGGUCAUGGAUGAGGAUUUCCCAUCAGAUGAUGAACACGAACGGACUCACAACAACGUCUCUUUGCAUCUUUGCUGAAUCUUGUUGAAAUCAGUCGGAAAAUGAACAUUUGUUUGGGUUGUGUUUUUCUUUCAUGGUGACAGGAGGUGCUACAUUUUAACAUUCUGCUUAAAUCUGGCGGGGAUGAAUAAAUAAAUGUGUAAAGCAUCCACCCUUGGCCUUUUGCAAUUAAUUGUUGUGUACCAGGGAUUCCUGAAGCGAUCCUCGCGGAGUUGUUACAUCAAGUGAGAAUACGUACUGCCACGAUAAGCGGCGGAGCUCGUGUUGGGCCUUAUGAGCUGUUUGUAAGACAUAAAACAGGAUGUGUUUGCUUUGCAGAUGGCAAAUAUUUACAGAUAAACAACCUUUUAAAUUUU